ensembl:lncRNA
GGGAGGGGAGGGGGGGAGGGGAGGAGAGGGGAGGGAGGGCUCACCGCCCGAGCCGCGGGGCCUCCUGGGAAGGGGAGGGGCGCGUCCUCAGGAGGCCAGGCUAAGGUCUGCAAGGAGCGGUCUUCCCUCCCGGCCCGGGAAGUCUUCUUGGGGUCCAGCAGGUGGCAGCACUGAGGGUGGCUGCUGUCCACGCAGGCCCCGUAGGGCUCGAACUGAAGCCCUCUGACCUCACCUCCGCUGCAUGUCACCCCUGCCUCCACCGGGGCCCCGGGACAAUGUGCGGUUCGGCACAGCACCCGGGUUACGUCUCAGUGUUUGACCCACAGCCCUAGAAUUCAUGGGGGGCUUCAUCAACGCUCGUUGAAGAAAAUCACAGGCGCGUAAGGAACAAAAUGAUGUUUUUAUUAAAAAUCGUACCCAUAGCACCUCUCUGUCUUCCUACAAGAUUUUUUUUUUUUUAAUGCGAUCUAGUUUAAUCUGCACAAUUCCAGAAAAUGUUGCCGGGAAAAUAUCAGGAGUGACCUAUGCCACCUAAACCAGCAGGUGAAGCGGACAGGGAACGAGGCAGCCCGCAGACCAGCUCAGUUCCUGGAUGUCCACCUGUUCCCACCUUUCGGACGGUCCAUGCUACAGGGAUGCCGAGGCAGAGAGCCGCAUCUGGAUACUUGGAUUGAUUGCUCAUUGGGAGAAUAAACUACACUGUGUGCCAGGAAUUCGUAAAAACUGAAAACCAUGCUAGGAACCACUACGCAAACACCAUGCUGCAGUCCAGUCUCGGUCAAAGGCCACAAGGCGCCUGCGGAGAAGUGUGUGCCUUCCUCUCCCGCCUCUCGCGGCCUCUCCCCACGCUGCCCUACGCACGUCUUCCUCCGAGGUGACAUUUAUCAGUGUUCCUCAAAAGCUCGGCUGGGGAAGGAGAAGCUCAGUUUGGGCCAACUGGAGGAGGUGCGGGAGCUCAAGGGGACGCAUUCCAUGCCCGCCCGCUGGGCACAAGGACUGCCCGCUGCCCUGCCCCUGCCGCCCACUGGCCUGGGAACCUGUGCGGGAAGCGCCCAGAGCUCCAUGCAAACCUGGCCCCUCAGCUCAGAGAGAGAGAGCGUGGCCCUGCUGGCUGCUUUGCUGCAUCACCCUCACCCAGAAAGCGCACCUCUCCUGCGUGUCUUGGGACCUUGGGGGACUCAGCCACCGCUGACCACGAGACACCGCAGGGGGUCGCUGCAGAAGGAGGCAGGACAGAACAGUUCUCCUUGCCUUGGCCACAGAAAUGUGGCCUGUCCUUUUUAUUUGGAACCAGGAUUAAAAUCCAAUAUCCAUUUUCCUGUUAGAGCCCGGGAAGAUGCGUCGUGUUGUCACAAAGACCCCAAAGCCAGAAACACACCUCAAACCAAACCAUCCUCAUCCUAGGACAGCUCAGCCCUUUCCCACGUGCAAGCAACGUCCGUAUGGCUUAGAGAGCAGAGCACGGAAGGCAGUGUCUGUCCAAGGCCUCCAUCCAUCGCUCGGCUUCUGAGAAAUUUGAGCUGCAGCCUCACAGCUUCCUGUCCACCUGUCCCUUUGGGGCCGAGGGGGACAGAGGUGGCCCUGCCCCAGGCGGGUCCCAUCCAGGGACCCGUGGGGGUGAUUCUCAUGCAGGAGAGGCUUUGGGCAGAGCAGCUAGGAUUUUUGGUUUAGAAUGUUUUCCCUCCACUUGGAAAAAGGAAGGGAGGGCUGGAGAGAGGAGAGAACCCUUCCACACCCCCUACCCCUACUUUUGGAGAAACUGCAAAAGGGUUUGUCACCGACACAAAACUCAAACAGAAAAGGGUUUUUUGUUUUUUGUUUUUUUCACACAACAACAAUUCUGGGGCCACACCCAGCAACUCUGAUAGCAGAGGGUCCAGACAGACCUCUGCCCAGGAGGCGGAGGGAGAAGAGCCACGAGGCUGCCUCCCUGCUGGCAGUGGCCAGUCGCUGGGCCGCCCACUCCCUCCUCUGGGUCGCCCACUCCCUCCUCUGGGUCAGGCAGGCCACUUGCUCGCUGUGCCCUGGGGGUGUGCACAGGCUCCUGCUGAGCAGGCGGGAAGCGAGGCCCUCCCGCAGCCCCUGGGCUCGCCCGCGCUGGCAGCAGCAGCCAUCCCUGCACCUCUAGUUUGGACUUUCAGACUUUCAACAUAGUUCACGCUCUUUCCUUUCAGCUAAAAAGCCAAAAGCAAACAAGAACGAGGAAAGAAAAGAAAAGGUUUCCAGAAAACCCGUUAAGGCUAAGAGCUGGCCUGGGGUCAGGGGACGCAGCAGCACCGCAGUCACAGCAGCGGCAGGAGGGAGCAAGGAGGCUCCAGGAAAGACCAGAGCCACGCGCACGGGGUGGGGGGUGGGGGGCCUGGCAGGCACGGGGGGGACUGGGGACCCCUCUUCUCAGAGCUGUUUGGCUUUAUUUGGAGACACUGUCGCUCUUCGUCUUUCCCACGUACAAAGCUAAACCAUUAAUAAAAAGGCACCUGGAGACA